rnacentral:rRNA from 1 species
AGUGAACGCUGGCGGUAGGCCUAACACAUGCAAGUCGAACGGCAGCACAGUAAGAGCUUGCUCUUACGGGUGGCGAGUGGCGGACGGGUGAGGAAUACAUCGGAAUCUACUUUUUCGUGGGGGAUAACGUAGGGAAACUUACGCUAAUACCGCAUACGACCUACGGGUGAAAGCAGGGGAUCUUCGGACCUUGCGCGAUUGAAUGAGCCGAUGUCGGAUUAGCUAGUUGGCGGGGUAAAGGCCCACCAAGGCGACGAUCCGUAGCUGGUCUGAGAGGAUGAUCAGCCACAACGGAAAUGAGACACGGUCCAGGCUCCUAAGGGAGGCAGCAGUGGGGAAUAUUGGACAAUGGGCGCAAGCCUUAUCCAGCCAUACCGCGUGGGUGAAGAAGGCCUUCGGGUUGUAAAGCCCUUUUGUUGGGAAAGAAAAGCAGCAGGUUAAUACCCCGCUGUUCUGACGGUACCCAAAGAAUAAGCACCGGCUAACUUCGUG